GUAGUCUGCAACCCGGCUACAUGAAGUUGGAAUUGCUAGUAAUCGCGAAUCAGAAUGUCGCGGUGAAUACGUUCCCGGGCCUUGUACACACCGCCCGUCACACCAUGAGAGCCGAUAACACCCGAAGCCUAUGAGCUAACCGUAAGGGGGCAGCAGUCGAAGGUGGGGUUGGUGAUUGGGGUGAAGUCGUAACAAGGUAUC
rnacentral:rRNA from 1 species